UAUUGCACAAUGGGGGAAACCCUGAUGCAGCGACGCCGCGUGAGCGAAGAAGUAUUUCGGUAUGUAAAGCUCUAUCAGCAGGGAAGAAAAUGACGGUACCUGACUAAGAAGCUCCGGCUAAAUACGUGCCAGCAGCCGCGGUAAUACGUAUGGAGCAAGCGUUAUCCGGAUUUACUGGGUGUAAAGGGAGCGCAGGCGGCACGGCAAGCCUGAUGUGAAAGCCCGCGGCCCAACCGCGGGACUGCAUUGGGAACUACCGGGCUGGAGUGCCGGAGAGGUAGGCGGAAUUCCUAGUGUAGCGGUGAAAUGCGUAGAUACUAGGAGGAACACCAGUGGCGAAGGCGGCCUACUGGACUUUAACUGACGCUGAGGCACGAAAGCGUGGGUAGCAAACAGG
rnacentral:rRNA from 1 species